UUAAUGAUGAAAUUUAUUUGGUCCGUGUUGAUGAAUUUGCUUGAUUAUAUUUUUAUCCAUACUACUGAUCUAU
rnacentral:snoRNA from 1 species